AGAGUUUGAUCCUGGCUCAGAACGAACGCUGGCGGCGUGGAUAAGACAUGCAAGUCGGACGAGAUUUUUCGCUGUAGCAAUACGGUGGAAAAUUUAGUGGCGAACGGGUGCUUAACACGUGGGCAACCUGCCGAGAAGUGGGGGAUAGCUCGCCGAAAGGCGAAUUAAUACCGCAUGUGAUUAGAGAGGACAUCCUUUCGAAAUUAAAGUCGGGGCAACCUGACGCUUUUUGUGGGGCCCGCGGCCUAUCAGCUAGUUGGUGAGGUAACAGCUCACCAAGGCUUUGACGGGUAGCUGGUCUGAGAGGACGACCAGCCACACUGGGACUGAGACACGGCCCAGACACCUACGGGUGGCAGCAGUCGAGAAUUUUUGACAAUGGGGGAAACCCUGAUCGAGCGACGCCGCGUGGAGGAUGAAGGUCUUCGGAUUGUAAACUCCUGUCAUUGGGGAACAAGGUGCAUACGUUAACUGCGUGUGCAUUGAUAGUACUCGAAGAG
rnacentral:rRNA from 1 species